rnacentral:misc_RNA from 1 species
GACGGAGGGUGCUAGCGUUGUUCGGAAUGACUGGGCGUAAAGGGCGCGUAGGCGGCUUGGCAAGUCGGGUGUGAAGGCCCGGGGCUCAACCCCGGAACGGCAUCCGAGACUUUCAGGCUCGAGACCGGGAGAGGAGGGUGGAAUACCCAGUGUAGAGGUGAAAUUCGUAGAUAUUGGGUGGAACACCGGUGGCGAAAGCGGCUCUCUGGCCCGGAUCUGACGCUGAGGCGCGAAAGCGUGGGGAGCAAACAGG